rnacentral:rRNA from 1 species
UCCCGCAGUAACGGCGAGUGAAGUGGGAAGAGCCCAGCACCGAAUCCCCUGCUCGCGAGGGCAGCGGGAACUGUGGUGUAUAGGACAGCCUCUGCGACGUCGACCGGUCGUCUAAGUCCCCCUGAUCGGGGCUUUGACCCAUAGCGGGUGUUAGGCCUGUACGGCCGCCGGUCGCGUCGCUCUGUGCAUCCUGGGAGUCGGGUUGUUUGUGAAUGCAGCCCAAAGCGGGUGGUAAACUCCAUCUAAGGCUAAAUACCGACACGAGUCCGAUAGC